rnacentral:tRNA from 84 species
AUCCGUCGACUUUAGAAAUCGUGAGGGUUCAAG